GGAUUUUGGCUCAGUGGCAGAGCUCUUGCCUUGCACAUAUGAGGUACUGGGUUUGAUCCUCAGCACCA
rnacentral:tRNA from 1 species